rnacentral:rRNA from 1 species
GACGAACGCUGGCGGCGUGCUUAACACAUGCAAGUCGAACGAAGUGGCGCACGGGUGAGUAACGCGUAAUCAACCUGCCCUUCAGAGGGGGACAACAGUUGGAAACGACUGCUAAUACCGCAUACUGAAGGAGGGGAUUGCGGCUGAUUAGCUCGUUGGAGGGGUAACGGCCCACCAAGGCGAUGAUCAGUAGCCGGGCCUGGAGGAUGAACGGCCACAAUGGGACUGAGACACGGCCCAGACCCCUACGGGGUGCAGCAGUGGGGAAUCUUCCGGAAUGGGCGAAAGGCUGACGGAGCAAACGCGCGUGAGGGGUGACGGCCUUUGGGUUGUAAAGCUUUGUUAAUCGGGACGCGGUACCGGAAUAGAAAGCCACGGCUAACUACGUGCCAGCAGCCGCGGUAAUUC